UAGACAUGCACUGGCGAUUUUGGAAUCAAAGCAGAUGAUCUAGAAGAACAUCUAUUUCAGAUCUUUGACCUCAUCUGUUGCUGAGAUGCAAUAUUGCUUCUGAGCAAAGCUGAUGUCUUUCUGAGCAAAUGUAGUGUCAACAGCCUACAUCACAACACUCUCAUGUCUGUGUUUCUCCACUCAAUCAAGUAUUUUGAAGAGAUCAUGUUUCUUACUACCAACCAGCACACCACAUUGGACCCAGCAAUGCAAAGUCAGAUACAUGUUGGUAUAAAAUAUAAAUCCCUGAGUUUGGAAGUCAAAUCCUGAGUGUGGAACAAACAAUUGAGCAAUGCUGGUGCUAAAAUCUUGAAAAAAGAGUUGAAGAAACUGCUGAAUAAAAGCUCAAAUGGGCGACAGAUCAAGAACAUUGCCCGAGCUGCAUUUGCGCUGGCCAAGGGAGGGGUGGUCACCAUCCACGCAUAUCGAGACAGCUCUGAACUGCGCCGGAGGAUUUGAUCAGGACUUCCAUGGCGCGGGAGCGCUUGAUAAUAUGAGAGCAUGCACAUGACGAUUGAUCGGUAUGCUAUGAUUGAUCGCGGCUAUUGGUGAUGGUUUCCUUUUUAGUAAAUGUAUCUCGGGCUUGGAAAUCGCCUGCAUCAGCCGAUCUUCAGAUUGGAAUUUCGUGGGAUAUUGAACUGGUGCAGUCCCAUUUGGAUGAAUGGAACUUCUUGUACUUUCUAUGACGUAAGCUGAUCUGCAAGUCUUGGCGAAACGCCAGACGAAGAUAAAAUAAACUCCAAGUCAGUAUGAUGUAUUUCUGUAAUUAGCAGUCUUCAUGAUGUAUUUCAUCUUUCCGUAGCUGCAUAUUGUUAGGGAACCUUCCAGAUGCUUCUAUGCCAGAGGUAGCAAGAAAAGAGCAACAUUAAAUGCCUAAUUCGGAGACUCGGUCCUUCGCUUUUCCUCCACUCCUGCAUUGUUUUGAAUAGUUCUAUUAAGAGCCGACCUCAAUAUGAAUCCAGACUGAACUCAGAGAAUUUCCUAGAGCGUACUGUACAGUACUGUAAAACUUAUCAUAUCUUUUGAAUGAUAAGAAUGACCGCAAUUAAGAGUAAAAUGACCCCUAUAUUAUUGAGGUAUGUAGGGUGACCUAGGCUACGCUAUCGACCGCGGGGCCAAAAAGCGGCAAUCUUGCAGUCACUGACCCUCGUUGGAAAUAUCCAAGGAGGCCCUGGGGACCUACCUUUCAAGCCAAAAGCAGCUCACACAACGUUUAAAUUUUUUGCCACCCCAUUUUGCGCUCACAUGAAAAAUAUCCCAGUUCACCAAGACCAAUCAAGCUACUUUGUGCUGGAGUUGACAAAUCAUCCCAGUCCGAAACAGCGAAAAACGAUCAUUUUUUAUUUGGCUUAGGGUUUUGGGAGCCGAGGCAUGAUCACCC
rnacentral:sRNA from 2 species